rnacentral:tRNA from 1 species
AAAGAUUUAGUAUAUUUAGUGUAUUGUCUGUUGUCUGCUGGCAGGAAUUUGUCUUUU